UAAACCCGUUUAACAGAUUAAUUGAUGCAUACUAACUGAGCACUAAACGCUUCGUCACUAAACAGGUUUCUACCGGGCAAUUACAUGAUGAAUGUUUAGACAUAAACAGGCAGUCCACGGGUACUUCGUGUUUUUAAGUGCAUUUGUGUUGCCCAUCCCCCCUGUCCCGCUGUGUUCGUCAGCACAAAUACCAGAGAGGAGACGUGCUGGAGCUCUCGUCUGCCCCGCACCCACUCUACCAACGUGACAAAGAAACGAGUUCAGACAAUUCAGUUUAAACGUACCUUUAUACGCUUUAUGCGGUUUACAAGUGAGAAAAAUACAGCACAACGUCAAAACAAAAACAAUGGAUAUCAUCUCUGAUUUGUCAUGAUGGGCCAUUUAUUUAACCUUCUAAAGUAUACUGUAUAUGUAUUGACCUCCAAAAAAGCUGGGUUGUUUUAGCAUAACUUUCCAUCUGGAUUAAACUAGAACAUUCUGGCAUUUAGUUGAUCUAUCGUCUUUUUCAAGCCAAAACUGUUACACGCAUGCGCACUGGGGCACUGCAGUAGAAAGAAAAGAAGAUCCGUGCACUAAAACUGGUUUAAGCCGAGUUGGGAGAUGGGGCUCGUGUUGUGCAUGUUGUAUUCCUCCGCACUGCGCUUCUGACGUAACUGUUGUUGUUUGAAAAGUACAUUUGUGAGGCUCUAUCAUUAAUGCAUCUCUGAGCAGCUGUGACCGUUGAUCUCACAGAAAUAGAAAAUUGUGGGGGAAUUCCUUUUAGAAAACUUUCCAUGUCAUCUGCUUUUAAAUUUGAUGGAACGUUUGCUUUCUAAUUCGACUUUGUGUCUUAUAUAAGGUGUAUACAUAAUGCAUCAUAAAACCAUGAUUUUUUUGUAUUAUUACAUGCUCAAUUUCACUUAUAACAGUAUUCAUGAAUGUUCAUAGCAACAUACAUUUAGCAGGUCUAUAUAUCUCUGAAAGAACUAUAAAAAUAGCAUGCAAAAUUCUUUUGAGAGGAACUAUUUUUUUUUAUCACACGGCGGAAGGAGUUGAAACCGACCGCCUAUCGACCGCCUAGGUCUAUAAAAACCAUGGCAACAACAAAGCGCGUCACGACGGGGUGAGGCGCACAGGAAGGCAGGCAGGGUUCGUUCGGUGAUCUGGUGAUGUGAUUUCGCUUUAUUCUAUUUUACUUUAAUAACGAUUAUCUAGAAGCACUAUUCUUAGCCAACUUUUUUCACUUUCAAGCUUAUACUUUGUUACAGUUGACCGUACUAAGGCUAUUACAUUUAGCGUGAAGAAGAUUUAAUGAAAGCUUUUUAUACGUUAAAAGUGCAUUUUUUUUUUUAAAUAAUUACUUACCAGACUAUUUCUAAUAGGAAAGACGAACUAUGAAAUAAGCAAUUUUAUGAAAUAGAAUAUGUAAUGCUGAUUUUACUACUAGCAAAUGUUUAACCAGCUGACUAAUAGCUUAAACAAAGCACAGCUAUGACCAUGUUAUCCUAUUUUAUUAAGCUAGUUUUAAAUAUAUUCUUCUUUCAACGAGAUUUUUAUGACGUGACUUGACUUAAAAAGCUUUUUUUUCGAUAAGUUACUCGAUUUCUCAUUCUUAACGUUAGCAACGCUUUUUCAAAAUGGCGGUCGCGACGGUUAGCAGACACAUGAUGCGAGGGCGAACAGAUCUACAGAAGAUUUUAUUUAAAAAAAAAAAAAAAAAAAAAAAAAAAAAAGCUUUUUUUCUGCAAACCAUAACAGAACCAUCAGUAUCCGCUUACUGCUAAGAUAAACCCCGGACAGCCAGGAAAUUAGUAUUUUAUUUAUUUUUGAAGCCUUUGGAGAAGCCCGUCUCGUUACUUCUAUUAGGAAGAAUCUAUUGAACAAGAAGUGAGUUCAUACUUAGGAAGAAAUGGACGAUGAUUAUAGUCGCAGCUUAUCUGUUUCUGAAGAUUUUUAUUUUUUUACGUAAAACCAGUUUUUCGACCAUCAAUUCAUAAAAAAGCAUUUUAAUCAGUUACGAUGACGCACUUCUGAGUGCUUGAACAUGCACCUUAAUGAUCGCUUUUAUGGACUGAGUCACGUGUUGCGUAACAGCUGUGAAUGGGGAGCAUAGCUUGUCUUUCAUGAUCCGACAAUAUCAGCAGAAGACUGAAGUACGGAGUAAAGGAGAAAUGGACUGAGUUUAAUUUAUCCAGUAACGACCUAGCGCUUAGAUGACAACGGAUGGAAGAAAAGACCCACAGCAGAGGCCAGGACCAGGGAGAAUCAGGACAAGAUGGCGAGCCAGGCAGGACCAGAGGGGAACCGGGGGAGGAUCAGAGGGCACAGAGCAGGCAACAGCAGCAGUAUCCAGAUGGGGGAGCCAGAUCCACAAGGCAGAUUAGCGUCAGGACAACUUUCGCCACCAGAGGGAGCUCAGCUGGUCUAGAUCAGAGCAAGCCAAAGAUGAAUGUCCCAGCAGCUGCAGAGAAAGAAAGAGGGCUCACAAGCAGAGAGUAUCAGGGGGUCUUCGCCAUAGCAAAGUCACGAAGAGGGCAUUUGGUUUGUAUGGGUAGAGGUAUCCUGUGUAAUUUUGAAGUCAUGUCAGUAGUUUGCAUUCCAGAACACUUUUGCUCGCGAAGUUCUGUUCUUUCCUUUUCAGGCGUGGUGAGUGACAGUGUUUGAAAUUCCGAUGUGUCAUCUUUCCUGUUGUUGGCCAAGUCUGAUGAAUGGCGUUAGUGUGCUGUGGAGACGUCCGUCCUUAAUCGACCACGCCUCCGCUACGUUUUGGCUAUAGGCCCGUGGAAAAGUCGUCCCCAUAUCCGCUUAAAUCCAUUAGGUCUGUCCUGAGAAGCAAUCUACAUGCGAAGGGUUUUUCGGAGUUGAAGUUCCCCUGCGUCCCUACACGACACAACUACCUCUACUGCACCCCCGCUGCGUCAGUCCGACAUAUGAUGCCAGGGCAGCUGCGUAUUGCCUGCCGGUAAAAAUUUUGAUGAGUUCAUGCAUGAAUUUUAAUGAAAUAAAAGCACUGUUGCUUUAAUAUAUAUAAAAAAAAAAAAAGGAAAACGCAACGCUUAUUUUUUGUAAAUGCGCUAUUGUAAAAGUAGUAACAUACAGAUUUUGCAAAUGCAGUUUCUGAAUAGUGACGUAAUGUUAUUGCAAAGUGUUUUGGGGGUUUGGGAGGGGCAAAUGCGUUUCUCGAGUUCUCUUUCCCACAGGCCCUGGUCACAUUUAGAGGCGAUAGAACCAAAAGGGAUUCCAGGAUGUUGUGUGGACCCUUUUAAAGUCAAAUUGUUGACUCCUCUGUAACGAUUCUUACAAAGCUACAAAGAAAGCCUCUACUUUGAUGGGAUUUAGGAAGGUACCUCAUUGAAUUUGUGUUAAGUUGUGUUUGGAAUUGUGAACCAUAUACUAUACAUAAAUAUUUUCCAGUAUUUAAUGUCUGGGAUUGUCAUGGGCAAUGGGGUGGAGGGGUGUGGGCCGUUAACCCAAAUCUCUUCCUAGACUUUGCAGCUUGUGAAAGCGGCUUUAUUUAAGGGUGGCAGUGGCUUGAAUAGCGCUGUAUGGGGGAAGGAACCACCAGUGUGUCUGCCAGUGGAUGAGUGGCCCUGUUACAAGCCUUCCAUGGCAGCUAGACCAGCGUUUACAUCUUUGGUAACACGGCAUGGGAUCAAACGCUUCCAUUUAUUUAACACAUCAUGAUGGCACUCUUUUGUCUCAUUAUUGAAUAGUAUAUCGAUAUUGGUUGUAUGUAUUGAUAUUGUUUAUGGGGUUUGUGGAUCUUGGGGGGAUUGCUUAAUUUUGACUCUUACAGAAUGAAACAAACCCUCAAAGAACAAAGCUGGUGGUCCAACCAAUAUCUGCCCCCCCUCCCCCCCCCCACUUAAGGAGCAAAGCUACUUCAAUAGAGGCCAAGAUGCUUUUAACGUUUUCUAAUGGCAAGUAAUUGGGUAUUCAUGUAAAUGGCAUUCAUUUUGCUUUUGUCUGUCAUUGUAUUGUACUUGAAUACAAUUUGAUGGCUAAGUGUCUAUGCAGUAAUUGUAUUAGUUUCUUAUUGUUUGGUUAAUUUUGUAUUUUGAAGAGCGGGGAUGUGUGUAGGCUUUCUUUUCCUCCCCCUUUGCAUUUUUCAGUGUGCAGUGUCCCUGAAUGCUUUCGACUGAAGAUGUCAUCUUAACAUUGUAUGUAAAGAUUUGCUUUCGCAUCAGUCAACUUCAGCCUCAUUUGGUCACGUAAGGUCACUAAGCAAGCCAUUUGUUCCUAACAUUUUUUCAUUAAUAGUCUGUUACAAUUGUUAAGAUGUGUGGUAGAGCACUUAUUACAAAUUAGCUUUGUAAUUUGUAUGUAAGUGUACAUUCUGUAACUGUUCCCAUUUUCAGUUAAUAAAUGCAUAGCUUGUUGUGAUUGAAAUAUUUUGGUAUGCAUUUUGUUUCUUGGGGUAUGUCUGGGGCUUUUUGGGGUAUUUCUGUGCUUUUUCAGGUGUGAGUGUAAAGCUUGGCGCUUUUUGUAGAGCUUGGAUGCCAGGGCUUGAUGUCGACUCUGUUCAAGGUGGAGAGGCAGAUCAGUCCAGUUCUACAACUGUACUCAGGUCGAAGGAAGAAAGGCAAAAUAUACAAAUUUAACUUUAAGAUAUGCUUUAUGCAUUAAAUUGUAGUCUCUUAUACAUAAGCCUACCCUUUUAAUAUCUGAUUCUUGUAGACUGUUUUACUUUGAUAAUGGGCUGUUUUGUAAGGGUGGGCAGAGGGGGCCUUUGUUUUUGCCAUUUUUGGUCUUGCAGAAUUUUACGAGGCCUCGUGAAGAAUGCCACUUCAUCCGGUUCCACUGAAUACUUCGGCAGGCAGGACAAUUCGUUGUGCUACAGAAGAUAUUAAACUGUACUGUACUUUUAAAAUGUUUAAUUACCCAGCCACUGCUCUGCGCAACUGUGCAGGGUGUAAAAGUUGCUUUACAAAUGUAUAGCAAUAGUCUGUUCAGCUGUUGCACAAAUGUGCUCCAAACUCCAAAUUUAGAGUGGCUGGGAAAAGCUGUGCAACUGUGCAGCUGGUUUUUUUUGAUUGGCUGUAUAGCCGAAAGUUACCUGGAAAAGAUUUGUUUGGGCUGGGGAGGGCUUUGCACUAUUCUCUUUCUUCUGCAGAAAUCUCAUCAGCCAGCUGUGUGGUGAAAGUUACAUGAUGUCGUCCUGUGGAGUCUAUAGCUACCAGGUGUCUGAAUCUUUAAACUUGAUUGUAGAAUCCUCAUGCAACAUUGUAAUCUUCAGUAACAUCAAUCACCACUGCUUCAGAAGCUGCACUUGUUUUGUGCUUCAUGCACUUUAAGUUUCUUUUACAUCUCUUAACUCCUUAGUAUUGAAGUCGGUGUGGUGGAAGUGUUUGUGUGUAGAAGCUCUUUGUUUCAGAUUACCCGUCUGUCCCACGCCUUCUCAACUGCAUCUGAAUGCGAGGCUGUCUGUGAGAGCAGUUGCCCUGGUGAAUGUCUUCACUUGAAUGAAUGGCGAUCAAAUCCCCCUACCGUGCGCUUGAGAUCUUUGUCCAAACCUCUGAAGCCCUUCGCUGAAGUCCCUUUGUGUGUCUGCGCGUCUCUCCCGUUUUUUUUUUUUUUUUUUUUUUUUUUUUCUUCUCCAAUUCUUCAUUUUCUUAGGUCAAUUUCACUUAGGGAGCAAAAUUGUCUUGUCGUCUGGGAGAGCUCUAACCGCCUGAUGAAACAUCCAGUCGCUCUGAUCAACCUCAUUUGUCAUUUUGCUGCUAAUUGAGCAUCGCUCUGCUGCUAUCUGCUGAGUUAAGUACAUGAAGUUGAUCUUAAUCUUAUGUGUGGGUAGAACAAGCAUUCACUUUUUCAUAAAUAUGCAUGCACAUAACACUUGCACUAAAAUUUCAAUCAAAUCCAAUGUUAGUGUUUGGAAUUUGGUAGCUUUGGGGAGGGGUGGGGCAACACUUUCUCUCUUUUCAGGUAUGCUGUUGUGAUUCUUCUAAAAUUGAGCCCGAGCUGUAACAUUGGAGUGGAUGGAUGUGCUUGCGUCAAAGCAAUUGCGUAACAAGUAUUUGGAAUGGAUUGUAAAUUAAUUUAAAUUGUAUUGGGAUGGGGAGGGAGGGGGAUGUGGGCUUGUAAAUUUUUUUUGCUCUGUUCUUUCAUUGCAGCUGUAGACUUGCUAACACUUUACUCCGAAGAGUUGGGUGUAAAGCGUCACUGGCUGGAGAUAAGUUUUUACGUGCACUUUUGCCAUUUAAAGAUUAUGAAAAUAGUUUGGGGAGUCUGUGGGGGGGAACGGAAAAACCCUGCGAGCGUCUGUCUAGUUACAGGAAUGGUGACUCACAAAGGCAGGAUUUUGUUCUGGCCAUGUUGGCGGGAUUUCGACACCUGGACCAUUGUUUGGUGCUAUUAAAUGGGAACAAGUCACACCUGAAUGCAAGUGCAACCUUGUUCAAGACCUCGCUGGUCAGAGAUUUGAUCUUCCAAGUAGAAGCAUAUGAAAAUUUUACCGUAACUUCAAUAGUAGCUAUGGCAUUUUGGAUGUUUUGAAGAGUUUAUCUGGGGAUUGGGGGGAUACCUGCAGUCUUUGUGUAGUUUCAGGCUAAAGAAGAAGAGCCAUAGAAGACCAGAGUGUCGUAGAGCAGCAGGUUUGAGGUUUUUCUUUUCCUGAGGGAAUAAUCUUAGGAUUUUUCCUUCAGGUUUUGCUUUUUUAACCUCAUAAGAAAAAAAGCAAAAGACUCCGGUGGAGGCACUCCUGAUUCUCAGGACGGGGUUCAAUUCCCUGCGGCGUCUUUGCUUUCUAACCUCUGCUCAAGUUAUAUUCUUUAGUGUACCCAAAGUUUAGUUCGUUUUUGAUUUAAUUUUGUUUUUUCUUAUUUUGAUGAUGGUACUUAUUUCCAUUUCAGUUUUCAUUCAUGUCAAAAUUGUUUAUACUUGUGAAAUAAAGGUUUGCUAAUGCCCCAAUGUCA